rnacentral:rRNA from 1 species
CCUACGGGGGGCAGCAGUGGGGAAUAUUGGACAAUGGGGGGAACCCUGAUCCAGCCAUGCCGCGUGUGUGAAGAAGGCCCUCGGGUUGUAAAGCACUUUCAGUGAGGAAGAACGCCUGGUGGUUAAUACCCAUCAGGAAAGACAUCACUCACAGAAGAAGCACCGGCUAACUCCGUGCCAGCAGCCGCGGUAAUACGGAGGGUGCGAGCGUUAAUCGGAAUUACUGGGCGUAAAGCGCGCGUAGGUGGCUUGAUAAGCCGGUUGUGAAAGCCCCGGGCUCAACCUGGGAACGGCAUCCGGAACUGUCAAGCUAGAGUGCCGGAGAGGAAGGUAGAAUUCCCGGUGUAGCGGUUAAAUGCGUAGAGAUCGGGAGGAAUACCAGUGGCGAAGGCGGCCUUCUGGACUGACACUGACACUGAGGUGCGAAAGCGUGGGUAGCAAACAGGAUUAGAUACCCGUGUAGUC